ACAGGUGGUGCAUGGUUGUCGUCAGCUUGUGUCGUGAGAUGUUGGUUAAGUCCCGCAACGAGCGCAACCCCUAUUGUUAGUUGCCAUCAUUCAGUUGGGCACUCUAGCGAGACUGCCGGUAAUAAACCGGAGGAAGGUGGGGAUGACGUCAAAUCAUCAUGCCCCUUAUGACCUGGGCUACACACGUGCUACAAUGGUUGGUACAACGAGUUGCGAGUCGGUGACGGCGAGCUAAUCUCUUAAAGCCAAUCUCAGUUCGGAUUGUAGGCUGCAACUCGCCUACAUGAAGUCGGAAUCGCUAGUAAUCGCGGAUCAGCACGCCGCGGUGAAUACGUUCCCGGGCCUU
rnacentral:rRNA from 1 species